rnacentral:misc_RNA from 1 species
GCAAACUUGGUCAUUUAGAGGAAGUAAAAGUCGUAACAAGGUUUCCGUAGGUGAACCUGCGGAAGGAUCAUUAACGAGUUGAAUUGAAGUUGUUCUGGUCUCUCGGGGCAAGUGAACACUUCUCUCUCAUCCAUCUCACCCCUGUGCACUUUUGAGAGGUUGACUAGCGUGGAAUCUAAGUUGGAAACGACGGUGAUUCUAAUGGUCUCCUCUUAUUUUACACCAUACUACAAGUAUUAGAAAGUCUUUUAUUGCUUGAUGCAAAAUAAAUACAACUUUCAGCAACGGAUCUCUUGGCUCUCGCAUCGAUGAAGAACGCAGC